AUGGAUGCAGACGGAGCAGGGAGGGCCCCCGUCUUCCCGGUGCCGCAGCAGCAGGCCCCGUCGUCCACGACGCCGCUGGCACCCUACUACUACUACUCGUCAUCGUCUUCUCCGGCGACGCCGUCCCGCCUGACGCACCACGUGACGCUGAGCCUCACCAGCCUGCCCAUCCUGGUGCUCACCGUGCUCGGCAUCCUCACCACCUCCGCGCUCCUCCUCACCUACUACGUCUUCGUCAUCCGCUGCUGCCUCACCUGGCACGCCACCGCCUCCGACUCCUCCACCCCCAACUCCGGCGCGCCCAGAAGCCUCGUCAUCUCCCUCACCCGCCGCCGCCCUCGCCGCAGCAACACCCCCUCCGAACACGAGCUCCCCGUGGUGCACGGGCCGGCGCCCGACGAGCCACGCGCCGGGCUCGGGGAGCCGGCCAUCCGGGCGCUGCCGGCGUUCAGGUACAGCAAGGCCGCCAAGGACGACGCAAGCGAGUGCGCCGUGUGCCUCGGCGAGUUCCAGGAGGGGGAGCGGGUGAGGCUCCUGCCGGGCUGCCUCCAUGUCUUCCACGCGGAGUGCAUCGACACUUGGCUCCACGGCUGCGCCAGCUGCCCGCUCUGCCGGGCAGCCAUCACCGCCACCACCGGCAAACAAGCUCCGUUAACAAUGGACCGGCCGCGGAGAGGGGAGGAGGUGGUCAUCCAGGUGCAGGUCGCCGGCACCGGAGAAGAGGAAGACACACUGACACCGCAGCAAGAAGACGGCGCCGUGGCCUCGAAGAGCGGCACUCGCUUCCAUGGGGAAUGCAGCGGCGGCGGCAGCAGCAAUGAAGCACAUUGUAGUAGGUAG
rnacentral:rRNA from 1 species